UGGGAAAGCYUUYGCGGYAUGGGAUGGGGUCGCGUCCUAUCAGCUUGAMGGCGGGGUAACGGCCCACCRUGGCUUCGACGGGUAGCCGGCCUGAGAGGGCGACCGGCCACAUUGGGACUGAGAUACGGCCCAGACUCCUACGGGAGGCAGCAGUGGGGAAUAUUGCACAAUGGGCGCAAGCCUGAUGCAGCGACGCCGCGUGAGGGAUGGAGGCCUUCGGGUUGUAAACCUCUUUUAUCGGGGAGCAAGCGAGAGUGAGUUUACCCGUUGAAUAAGCACCGGCUAACUACGUGCCAGCAGCCGCGGUAAUACGUAGGGUGCAAGCGUUAUCCGGAAUUAUUGGGCGUAAAGGGCUCGUAGGCGGUUCGUCGCGUCCGGUGUGAAAGUCCAUCGCUUAACGGUGGAUCCGCGCCGGGUACGG
rnacentral:rRNA from 1 species